AGGGCUAAAUAACACCAAUUCAUAUGAAUGUUUUUUGUAACAGAGUAGGCUUUACCCCUAGGUAAAAGAUUAUUGAACCAAUAAUGAUAUCAUCAUCACCUGACCAAUGGAUUAGCUACAUUAACAAUGGUUUGAGCCAUUUCUAUCCUUUACUCGCCACAGAAUAAAACUCCUUGCAGAGUACAUGGUAUAAUAAAGACAAACUGAGCGUCAGGAGCCGGGAAAGAGGCUUUGUGAGUCAUGAUGAUCAACUGCUACCACAAGCAGAAUCAUAGGUCAAAAGAAACAGCAGACGAGCCUCGCGGAAAAUGACACGGCUGACAACGCUCUUUCAGGAAAUCGUCCAUUCCAAUUAUGAGGUGGUUGGGGUGGGGCGCGUGGACACAUUUCCAUGUUAUUUUCAACAUCCCACUGGUAUUAUUUCCCCAAAACCCUGACAGCAAACACCCAAGAGGCUCAGAGUUGCUUUUCCGAUCCGUCCACAGCACGAGAAAUCCCUCCGCCCUGAGCGACACGGACGGGACACUUGGUUUUUCACAGAGACAGAAAAAUAAUAACAAUCCUGUCAAUCCAGAAAUGUGGUACAAUGUACAGAAAUGAUGAUUGUGGGUGCCUUUCUCCUGCCUAAGAGGAUUGCGCUAAUUAAACACGGAGAGAUUAUCAAACUUUGUCUAGAGCUGAUAAAAUCCGGCAACAAAUUAAAAUGGCAUGUGGAAGCUAAUCCACGGCAAACCGG